rnacentral:rRNA from 1 species
UACGGAGGGUGCAAGCGUUGUCCGGAUUUAUUGGGUUUAAAGGGUGCGUAGGUGGCCUUAUAAGUCAGCGGUGAAAGUCUGCAGCUUAACUGUAGAACUGCCAUUGAUACUGUAAGGCUUGAGUACUGAUGAGGUAGGCGGAAUUGAUAGUGUAGCGGUGAAAUGCAUAGAUAUUAUCAAGAACACCGAUUGCGAAGGCAGCUUACUAAGGAGUUUCUGACACUGAGGCACGAAAGCGUGGGGAGCAAACAGG